GAUGAACGCUAGCGGGAGGCCUAACACAUGCAAGCCGAGCGGUAUUUGUCUUUCGGGACAGAGAGAGCGGCGUACGGGUGCGGAACACGUGUGCAACCUGCCUUUAUCUGGGGGAUAGCCUUUCGAAAGGAAGAUUAAUACCCCAUAAUAUAAUGAAUGGCAUCAUUUAUUAUUGAAAACUCCGGUGGAUAGAGAUGGGCACGCGCAAGAUUAGAUAGUUGGUGAGGUAACGGCUCACCAAGUCGAUGAUCGUUAUGGGGCCUGAGAGGGUGAUCCCCCACACGGGGACUGAGACACGGACCAGACUCCUACGGGAGGCAGCAGUGAGGAAUAUUUGACAAUGGGUUAGCGCCUGAUCCAGCCAUCCCGCGUGAAGGACGACGGCCCUAUGGGUUGUAAACUUCUUUUGUACAGGGAUAAACCUACUCUCGUGAGAGUAGCUGAAGGUACUGUACGAAUAAGCACCGGCUAACUCCGUGCCAGCAGCCGCGGUAA
rnacentral:rRNA from 1 species